rnacentral:rRNA from 1 species
GCUGAGGAGCGAAAGCGUGGGGAGCGAACAGGAUUUAGAUACCCUGGUAGUCCACGCCGUAAACGAUGAGUGCUAAGUGUUAGGGGGUUUCCGCCCCUUAGUGCUGCAGCUAACGCAUUAAGCACUCCGCCUGGGGAGUACGGUCGCAAGACUGAAACUCAAAGGAAUUGACGGGGGCCCGCACAAGCGGUGGAGCAUGUGGUUUAAUUUCGGAAGCAACGCGAAGAACCUUACCAGGUCUUGACAUCCUCUGACAAUCCUAGAGAUAGGACGUCCCCUUCGGGGGCAGAGUGACAGGUGGUGCAUGGUUGUCGUCAGCUCGUGUCGUGAGAUGUUGGGUUAAGUCCCGCAACGAGCGCAACCCUUGAUCUUAGUUGCCAGCAUUCAGUUGGGCACUCUAAGGUGACUGCCGGUGACAAACCGGAGGAAGGUGGGGAUGACGUCAAAUCAUCAUGCCCCUUAUGACCUGGGCUACACACGUGCUACAAUGGACAGAACAAAGGGCAGCGAAACCGCGAGGUUAAGCCAAUCCCACAAAUCUGUUCUCAGUUCGGAUCGCAGUCUGCAACUCGACUGCGUGAAGCUGGAAUCGCUAGUAAUCGCGGAUCAGCAUGCCGCGGUGAAUACGUUCCCGGGCCUUGUACACACCGCCC